AAUCAAACAUACAGUAUUUGAGAGCAAAACUAUUAAAUUGUUGUAAAAAAAAUUAAUUCGCAUUUAAAAAAUGUUAUCUUAAAAUUAUUUUAGUUACAAAAUACAGUAAUUGUUAACCAAACUUUUUGCAAUGUGAAUUUUUCUUUGAGUAAUUUCAUCGCGUGUCCCUACAUUUUGCUCUCUGCUGCGCUGUUUUUGUUUGCGGAUCAAAAAUCUUUGCUUUUGAGUCAAAAAGUUUUGGAUGCAAGUUACACGCGUCUCAGUGGGCGGGAUCAACCUAGUUGAAUGAAAGACCCGUUUCUAUUGGCCACUACUGUCACCAUUUGACCACGCCCACCACGGAAGUCUGCCACCGAGGAGAGCGAUGCUGUGCUAUGGAGAGCGGCAUUGUUUGUAAGAUGAUUCUUCACUAGAGGUUACAUUGAAGUCAGGCAAUGACAGGAAGGAUGGCUGGGGAUUCCAAGAUCUGAUAAAUGAAGUUACAUGAAGAUACUUGGACUACUCAUGGGACCAGAGAGCUAUUACACCAGCUCCAGUCUGGAUCCUGUCUCUAUCAGAUGACCCUACACAUAAGGAAAGUUGACAUCGGCCAUCACAAGGACUUCAAAACUGUUCAAAGCGCUAUACAAAUAAAUGUGAACAAAAUUGAAUUGUUUGAAGUCAACAGCAGAGAUAAGGAUGCCACACAAUGCAUCCUCCCACAACAGAUCUUGCAUUACAAAGUGAUAUUGACAUCUUUCUUGGCCUCUCUGAUUACAAUCCUCACAAUCAUUCCUGCAACACAAGAAGCACACAUUACUUUUAUGUCACAAAUCACAGUGUGUCAUUAAAGUCUGGUCUACCUGCUACUUUUAAAAGAUCUUCGUAUCAAAAUUCCUUAAAUACUGGAUUUUAUUAAUUACUUUUGUUUAGUUACCAAUAUAUUUAUUUACAUUUGCACAUUUUUUCAUAUUCAUUCAUUUUAUCCUAAACUAUUUUGCUUGUUGUUUCAUUACUGCAGAUUAUUUAUGUUGGGUGAUGCAUUGUCUUCAUAAGUAGAUAUAGGUAUAUCAGUGGUUUCCUCCGGCUAAAGAUUUUUGAUAAUGUCAUAAGACAAAGUAGCAUUGUGUAAUACUUUAUAUGUUGUUUAAAAUAUGGGUAACACUUUACAAUAAGGUAACUACAUUAAUUAACAUGAACUAAUAAUGAACUGCACUUAUACAGCAUUUAUUUAUCUUUGUUAAUGUUAAUUUCAACAAUUACUAAUACUUUUAUUAAAAUUGUGUUAAUGUUAGUUAAUGCACUGUGAACUAACAUGGACAAGCAAAUAAAGCUUUAUUUAUAUUAACUAACGUUAACAAAGAUUAGGCCUAAUAAAUACUGUAACAAAUGUAUUGCUCAUAGUUUGUUCAUGUUAGUUAAUACAUUAACUAAUAUUAACUAAUGAACCUUAUUGUAAAGUGUUACCAAAAUAUGUUACAAGACGAGUCAGACAGACCAUUGACAGUGCAGCUAAGAUUAUUCAAUAAACCAUUUUUAUUUUAUUCUUUA